rnacentral:lncRNA from 1 species
GACAGUGGAAGUUGAACACUGCUUCCACGUGCUCCUGAACUAAAAAUGGGGUCUGGACAGUCCAACAGAGGUCCUGGCUAUGGAGGAGGGUUCCAUUCUUACCUGUUGCUCUACAAUGUACAGCUGAUGUUUUACAAUAAAAACAUGGAGUCAUGCUAACUCCCACAUGCCCUACCAUUCACUCUCCCCAAGCCAGUAACAAAGCAGGCAACGCAGCUAAUAUAAUAUUUAGACUAACCGUGAAGAAAAAGAUCUUUCUCCCUUCUGUACUCUGAAUAAAUAAAUUAGUCUGACCAAAUGAAGAAA